CCCGGAGGACUAGUGGUCAGGCCACAGCGCUCUCACCGCUGAGGACUGGGUUCGAACCCCUGCCACUGGGG